rnacentral:misc_RNA from 1 species
CUCGUUUGUAUCUCUUUUAGUGCCUCCAUUGCCAACUCCAAGGGAUUGAUAGCCUUGUGAGGGAGACCACUGUGAAAAAGCUUCCCAGUAGUUUUGAGUCUCCAUGCUAUCAUCCCACCAGUUCCAAUGCAAGGUUGUUUAUCAGCCGUAUCGAUCCAAUACAGAGGCCCUUGUUUGAGCUUGUCAAGCAGCCCAUCCUUCACUAGGGCGUCAACGCCGAUCCCAGAGACCGACGAGUUCUCCUCGUUGGCUAUGAAGACAGCGACAACCGUGUUCUUGAGAGCCGGGCGUGUCUUCCCCAGCCGUCGCAUGAGCUCAGUCACGAGCGCCACGUGUCCCAAGCAGUCGGUCGUUCCUCGCCCGCGCAGCUUGUCCCCAUCGAUGCUCAAUGAGAAAGGAUCGAACUCCCAAUCGGCGGGAUCAGCGGUGACGACAUCCAUGUGGCACCCAACGAACGACAGAAUCCUCCCCGG